UGAACGCUGGCGGCGUGCCUAAUACAUGCAAGUCGAGCGAACGGACGAGAAGCUUGCUUCUCUGAUGUUAGCGGCGGACGGGUAAGUAACACGUGGAUAACCUACCUAUAAGACUGGGAUAACUUCGGGAAACCGGAGCUAAUACCGCAUAAUAUUUUGAACCGCAUGGUUCAAAAGUGAAAGACGGUCUUGCUGUCACUUAUAGAUGGAUCCGCGCUGCAUUAGCUAGUUGGUAAGGUAACGGCUUACCAAGGCAACGAUGCAUAGCCGACCUGAGAGGGUGAUCGGCCACACUGGAACUGAGACACGGUCCAGACUCCUACGGGAGGCAGCAGUAGGGAAUCUUCCGCAAUGGGCGAAAGCCUGACGGAGCAACGCCGCGUGAGUGAUGAAGGUCUUCGGAUCGUAAAACUCUGUUAUUAGGGAAGAACAUAUGUGUAAGUAACUGUGCACAUCUUGACGGUACCUAAUCAGAAAGCCACGGCUAACUACGUG
rnacentral:rRNA from 1 species